ensembl:lncRNA
CUCCUCUCACAUUCUGUCAUUGUGUCCUCGGCCUAGCUGCCACGUGGUCGUAGCGGACCAGGACUGACCCCUCAGUUUUUUACUCUCACUCUUCCUCUUUCUCCUUCACUGUCCACAUCUCAUUGUCGAUUUCUGCGACUGUGUAUCACACUAGACGAAGUGCUGGAAUGGCCAUCUCACAGGUUCACAGACUGUUUGGCCCAGAGACAGCAGAGUACUUCCUGAACCCAGCCCUUGUGAAAACACGUGCGUCACCAUGGCUCCUGCAAUGGAUGGCUCAGGUGGGAGAACAGGUUAGCGGACAGGUGUUGUGGAACACACUGAGAAGGAACUCCAACGCCCGGCUACUGAAAAUGGAAACUGGUUGUCCGAAGGUGGCGCGCGAGGCUGAGAACAUCGCAGGAGUCGAUGCCCAUAAGCAUGAGCGGAGUCACCUGCACCAUCUGUCUCGGGUCAGAUGCAUGUUUCAGACCGCACAACUCAACCAGGCCAAGACCACCCGGCUGCUUGCCGAAAACCCCCUGCCGCAGCUCUCGGACCGCUGGGAAUGGGGGGGUCCUCAUGGGUACCUCCCACAGAUGAGGGACAUGCAAGAAACAUCUGCCAGGGAUGUACAAAGAUUCAAACAUGGGAAACUCACAUAGCUGCAGUUUAUUCAGGAAUCACGGAUAGAGUCAUAUGUGACUAUAUAAAAAAGUAGCUUUUAUGCUUAUAAGGUGCUUUGCAACAAAAUUUUAGCUCAAUGGACAAAAGUAAAUUUUUUAACACUGGUGAUCGCAAGCAGUUUUGCUAAAAAAGAGAAAAACAUCAAGAAGUUUUGGUACUUCAUCUUGUUUUUACUGAACUUGUAAAUGUGCACCAUUAUAGGCCCCAAGUGUCUAAGUGAUACUCACAAUGCAUUGUACUUUUUCAGUGAUAAACACUAAUUAACAACUGCUGAAGGGCUACAAGUCGCAGAUAUAUGAAUCAGUGUACAUGCAGAAAAAAAUGCGUGUAGAUGUUAAUUGCUGCAAAAAGGAAGCCUUAUGUCAUAUUCUCCACCAAAAAUCUAUAGCAUACUUUAACGAACAUAACCAUUUACGGACACAAUGUGUUAACCAUUGCUUGCUGUUUCAGUUUUAACUGACAAAGUCAUUGCUUUAAAAUUUAUAUUAACUGUAACUUCCAUGAAUCAAAUUAUAUUAAAUUAUUAUAUAAUUUAUUUUACCUCCAUUUAUUGGGGAUUUUUGUGAAUGACAGUAAUGCUUUUUAAUUCCUUGAAAAAUACUGGCAAUCACGAUCCAAAAGAGGGCAGUGUCCGGUCACAUGAUACUUACCACAGUAAGUACACUCAAUAACUUAAAUUUACACUUUCAUUAGUUCUACAUGGUUCUAUUUCUAAUCUUUUUCAGUACUGAGUACUCGGUUGAUUUUAAAAUGUAACCAAAAAUGUGUUGUGCAUGUGAUUUUAAACUUUUAAACUAUUUUUUCAUCAUAAAUGGGAAUACCAUACUUAUCCAGUUUUAAGUAAGAAUCAAGAAAACGCUUCUACGGUUUGUGGAAGAAUCUGACUGCACUGAUUUUAAUAAAACUUUGCAAUGUGGCGAUCCUAC